rnacentral:rRNA from 1 species
UACCAGCUCUCCGGGUGGUAGGGAUGAUUAUUGGGCUUAAAGCGUCCGUAGCCGGCUUAGCAAGUCUCCUGUUAAAUUCAGCGACCUAAUCGUUGAGCCGCGGGAGAUACUACUAGGCUAGGGGGCGGGAGAGGUCAACGGUACUUCCGGGGUAGGGGUGAAAUCCUAUAAUCCCGGGAGGACCACCAGUGGCGAAGGCUGUCGACUAGAACGCGCUCGACGGUGAGGGACGAAAGCUGGGGGAGCGAACCGGAUUAGAUACCCGGGUAGUCCCAGCUGUAAACUAUGCGGGCUAGGUGUUGGGGUGGCUACGGGCCACUUCAGUGCCGCAGGAAAGCCAUUAAGCCCGCCGCCUGGGGAGUACGGCCGCAAGGCUGAAACUUAAAGGAAUUGGCGGGGGAGCACCACAAUGCGUGAAGCUUGCGGUUC